GAGUUUGAUCAUGGCUCAGAGCGAACGCUGGCGGCAGGCCUAACACAUGCAAGUCGAACGGAUCCUUCGGGAUUAGUGGCGGACGGGUGAGUAACACGUGGGAACGUGCCCUUUGGUUCGGAACAACUCAGGGAAACUUGAGCUAAUACCGGAUGUGCCCUUCGGGGGAAAGAUUUAUCGCCAUUGGAGCGGCCCGCGUCUGAUUAGCUAGUUGGUGAGGUAAAGGCUCACCAAGGCGACGAUCAGUAGCUGGUCUGAGAGGGA
rnacentral:rRNA from 1 species